CCUAAUUUAAGAAAGGGACGAUUUUAGCAAGCUUGACACUUUUUUUUUGCGACAGGACCAUUCACAGUUGAGCUCACUCAGUUUAGCUUUUUUUUUUAUCAAGGGAGGCCAAAUGUCCGCUGGCUUCUAUUGCAUUCAAUGCAACGGGCGGAAACAAUGUCAUAUUAAUUUUGACCAGACAGCAUCAGAUAGAUGUGCUUCACAUAAUAAGACAGAGAGGUGCUUUUUCUUUCGAUUGGAUGCUUUCUCCAGUGAAAUACAUUCAGCCUCUUGCGAAUUGAAGGAAAUAUAUGAAACAUAGAGAGAUGAAAGAUACAAAAAAAAAGAGCACAAUGUUUGGAAAAUCACAACAACAUAAACAUCAGGCACAGUUUUAUGUCAAGAUUGCAAGGACCUAUUCUAUCCAGAUACAAUGCGUCGGUGGGCCCAGUGGUGUGUGCUGAAUCUGGUGAGACUGAUGCUGUGGCUGUUAGCCCUGGCUAUACUGACUGUCCUGGUAGCCCCUGACCUGCUGUGGAGCCUGACUGGGGGAGAGCCAUAGGAGGUGUUGACGAAAAGCCCCUUUUGUUCUACAGUAUGUCCCAAAUGACCUCUUCUGUCUAUAAAAUCCAGAUGAAGGCUACAUGCUGAAACAAAUUGGUUUUUCAAAACAAAUAUUUAUUUUAAAAUCAGCUUUGUCCUCCAUGAGUGGCUGAAAUAGCCUCUUCUAUUUAGGUGUGGACAGGGUUGAAGGAGGGUCUGUCUCUGCUCACUCUGAUCAUAUCAUAAUGAAUCAUAAGGGGGGAAAAAAGCAUCUAAUCAACAAUGGAAUUAUUUUCAAUUAACUCUGCAACUCUUCCAACUAUUUACUUUUUCACAACUGCCACCAGUUUAACAUCAAAACAUAUUAACAUUGUAAAACAAAAACAUAAAAUACAUUUCAUGCUGAAACCCUCAUAUUAAACACCAAUGGUAUUAACUAAGUUAAUG
rnacentral:lncRNA from 1 species